rnacentral:rRNA from 1 species
GUGGGGAAUCUUGCGCAAUGGACGAAAGCCUGACGCAGCCAUGCCGCGUGAAUGAUGAAGGUCUUAGGAUUGUAAAAUUCUUUCACCGGGGACGAUAAUGACGGUACCCGGAGAAGAAGCCCCGGCUAACUUCGUGCCAGCAGCCGCGGUAAUACGAAGGGGGCUAGCGUUGCUCGGAAUUACUGGGCGUAAAGGGCGCGUAGGCGGACAGUUUAGUCAGAGGUGAAAGCCCAGGGCUCAACCUUGGAAUUGCCUUUGAUACUGGCUGUCUUGAGUACGGGAGAGGUGAGUGGAACUCCGAGUGUAGAGGUGAAAUUCGUAGAUAUUCGGAAGAACACCAGUGGCGAAGGCGACUCACUGGCCCGUUACUGACGCUGAGGCGCGAAAGCGUGGGGAGCAAACAGGAUUAGAAACCCGAGUAGUCC